rnacentral:rRNA from 1 species
UACGGAGGGGGCAAGCGUUGUUCGGAGUCACUGGGCGUAAAGGGUGCGUAGGCGGCGCGGUAAGUCGGGUGUGAAAUCUCGGGGCUUAACUCCGAAACUGCAUUCGAUACUGCCGUGCUUGAGGACUGGAGAGGAGACUGGAAUUUACGGUGUAGCGGUGAAAUGCGUAGAUAUCGUAAGGAAGACCAGUGGCGAAGGCGGGUCUCUGGACAGUUCCUGACGCUGAGGCACGAAGGUCAGGGGAGCAAACGGG